rnacentral:rRNA from 1 species
AUUGCACGCUUGCGGCAGGCCUAACACAUGCAAGUCGAACGAGUGGCGGACGGGUGAGUAAUGUCUGGGAAACUGCCUGAUGGAGGGGGCUAAAUACUGGAAACGGUAUCUAAUACCGCAUACCAUCGGAUGUGCCCAGAUGGGAUUAGCUAGUAGGUGGGGUAACGGCUCACCUAGGCGACGAUCCCUAGCUGGUCUGAGAGGAUGACCAGCCACACUGGAACUGAGACACGGUCCAGACUCCUACGGGAGGCAGCAGUGGGGAAUAUUGAACAAUGGGCGCAAGCCUGAUGCAGCCAUGCCGCGUGUGUGAAGAAGGCCUUCGGGUUGUAAAGCACUUUCAGCGGGGAGGCGUUACCCGCAGAAGAAGCACCGGCUAACUCCGUGCCAGCAGCCGCGGUAAUAC